UAUACAUGCAAGUCGAACGCUUUGUGGUUCAACUGAUUUGAAGAGCUUGCUCAGAUAUGACGAUGGACAUUGCAAAGAGUGGCGAACGGGUGAGUAACACGUGGGAAACCUACCUCUUAGCAGGGGAUAACAUUUGGAAACAGAUGCUAAUACCGUAUAACAAUGACAACCGCAUGGUUGUUAUUUAAAAGAUGGUUCUGCUAUCACUAAGAGAUGGUCCCGCGGUGCAUUAGCUAGUUGGUAAGGUAAUGGCUUACCAAGGCGAUGAUGCAUAGCCGAGUUGAGAGACUGAUCGGCCACAAUGGGACUGAGACACGGCCCAUACUCCUACGGGAGGCAGCAGUAGGGAAUCUUCCACAAUGGGCGAAAGCCUGAUGGAGCAACGCCGCGUGUGUGAUGAAGGGUUUCGGCUCGUAAAACACUGUUGUAAGAGAAGAAUGACAUUGAGAGUAACUGUUCAAUGUGUGACGGUAUCUUACCAGAAAGGAACGGCUAAAUACGUGCCAGCAGCCGCGGUAAUACGUAUGUUCCAAGCGUUAUCCGGAUUUAUUGGGCGUAAAGCGAGCGCAGACGGUUAUUUAAGUCUGAAGUGAAAGCCCUCAGCUCAACUGAGGAAUUGCUUUGGAAACUGGAUGACUUGAGUGCAGUAGAGGAAAGUGGAACUCCAUGUGUAGCGGUGAAAUGCGUAGAUAUAUGGAAGAACACCAGUGGCGAAGGCGGCUUUCUGGACUGUAACUGACGUUGAGGCUCGAAAGUGUGGGUAGCAAACAGGAUUAGAUACCCUGGUAGUCCACACCGUAAACGAUGAGUGCUAGGUGUUUGAGGGUUUCCGCCCUUAAGUGCCGCAGCUAACGCAUUAAGCACUCCGCCUGGGGAGUACGACCGCAAGGUUGAAACUCAAAGGAAUUGACGGGGACCCGCACAAGCGGUGGAGCAUGUGGUUUAAUUCGAAGCAACGCGAAGAACCUUACCAGGUCUUGACAUCCCUUGACAACUCCAGAGAUGGAGCGUUCCCUUCGGGGACAAGGUGACAGGUGGUGCAUGGUUGUCGUCAGCUCGUGUCGUGAGAUGUUGGGUUAAGUCCCGCAACGAGCGCAACCCUUAUUACUAGUUGCCAGCAUUCAGUUGGGCACUCUAGUGAGACUGCCGGUGACAAACCGGAGGAAGGUGGGGAUGACGUCAAAUCAUCAUGCCCCUUAUGACCUGGGCUACACACGUGCUACAAUGGCGUAUACAACGAGUUGCCAACCCGCGAGGGUGAGCUAAUCUCUUAAAGUACGUCUCAGUUCGGAUUGUAGGCUGCAACUCGCCUACAUGAAGUCGGAAUCGCUAGUAAUCGCGGAUCAGCACGCCGCGGUGAAUACGUUCCCGGGUCUUGUACACACCGCCCGUCACACCAUGAGAGUUUGUAACACCCAAAGCCGGUGGGGUAACCUUCGGGAGCCAGCCG
rnacentral:rRNA from 1 species